AUUGAACGCUGGCGGCAGGCCUAACACAUGCAAGUCGAACGAGUGGCGGACGGGUGAGUAAUGUCUGGGAAACUGCCCGAUGGCGGGGGAUAACUCCUGGAAACGGUAGCUAAUACCGCAUACCAUCGGAUGUGCCCAGAUGGGAUUAGCUAGUAGGUGGGGUAACGGAUCACCUAGGCGACGAUCCCUAGCUGGUCUGAGAGGAUGACCAGCCACACUGGAACUGAGACACGGGCCAGACUCAUACGGGAGGCAGCAGUGGGGAAUAUUGCACAAUGGGCGCAAGACUGAUGCAGCCAUGCCGCGUGUAUGAAGAAGGCCUUCGGGUUGGAAAGUACUUUCAGCGAGGAGGCGUUACUCGCAGAAGAAGAACCGGCUAACUCCGUGCCAGCAGCCGCGGUAAGUC
rnacentral:rRNA from 1 species